CGGAGCCUCGCCGAGCCGACAGCAGCUGUGUCCGGGAGCCCAGCCUUCCCUGUGGGGGGGACGGUGGCCCUGCCGCCCUCCGUCUGCCGGCCGCCGCUCGCCUUGCCACCCGGGCUGAACUGCAUCUACCGUUGCGGCCGGGCGCUGGAGCCUCCUGGGAGCGUCCGCGUGAACAUGCAGCCAAUAGCACCCUGCACCCAAGAGGAAGCCCCCGUGGGGCCAGAGCAAAGAGCAGGGGGGCCUAAUGGGCAUCUCCCUAGAACCCCGUUCAACCUGGAGCAGGCCAUUGGGGCUCGGCUUCGCCAUAUGGGAGACCGCUUUCACCAAGACCAUGAGCAGAGGGAGCGCAGGCCUCGCGGUGCCCUCUGGGCCCACUUGUACCACUUCGUCUUCCAUCUACUGGGUAUCUUGGACAACUUACCUGCCAGGGGGUGAUGGACAGGCCUUGGAGUGAAGAGCCAUCCGCUGAGCUGUGUUGGGACUUCUUUUCCUGCUGGCCAGGGGAACAGCAGCCUCAGCUGGAGAACAGACGCCCGGGAGCGGCCAGCAUCGAGCUGACAGUGUUGGAUCACCAACUGCCUGCUCUGAGCGGCCAGCGCUGUGGCUUCAUUUUGCCCCCAGCCCAGCAGUGCCUUACGGAGAGCUGCACAGAUGGGUAGGGGCGAAAGACAAGUUAGCACUAUGUGAAUAUUUUCACUGAGCCUGUACAUGGGGGGUGGGGGGGGAGAAGAGAAUUGCACUUGACACCUCGACUCGAGAGGGACAGCCUACAACGCCCACUGUAAAUAGGGACUGGACUUGUGUAUAGUUAUGGGGGGGGGGGGAGUGGAAGAAAACCUGCACGUUGGUGCAGCAGCUGCUGUAUGUAUAUAGACCGUCUUCGUGCCUGUACAUAGAACACAGCUGGGUGCUGCCUGUACA